rnacentral:rRNA from 1 species
AACGAACGCUGGCGGCAGGCCUAACACAUGCAAGUCGAGCGAACCCUUCGGGGUUAGCGGCGGACGGGUUAGUAACGCGUGGGAAUAUACCCUUUGGUACGGAAUAGCCUCGGGAAACUGAGAGUAAUACCGUAUGUGCCCUUCGGGGAAAGGAUUUAUCGCCAAAGGAUUAGCCCGCGUUGGAUUAGAUAGUUGGUGGGGUAAGUGGCCUACCAAGUCUACGAUCCAUAGCUGGUUUGAGAGGAUGAUCAGCAACACUGGGACUGAGACACGGCCCAGACUCCUACGGGAGGCAGCAGUGGGGAAUCUUAGACAAUGGGCGCAAGCCUGAUCUAGCCAUGCCGCGUGGACGAUGAAGGCCUUAGGGUUGUAAAGUCCUUUCAGAUGGGAAGAUAAUGACGGUACCAUCAGAAGAAGCCCCGGCUAACUCCGUG